rnacentral:rRNA from 1 species
CGAACGCUGGCGGCGUGCCUAACACAUGCAAGUCGAGCGAUGAAACUUCCUUCGGGAAGUGGAUUAGCGGCGGACGGGUGAGUAACACGUGGGUAACCUGCCUCAAAGAGGGGGAUAGCCUCCCGAAAGGGAGAUUAAUACCGCAUAACAUUAUUUUAUGGCAUCAUAGAAUAAUCAAAGGAGUAAUCCGCUUUGAGAUGGACCCGCGGCGCAUUAGCUAGUUGGUGAGGUAAGGGCUCACCAAGGCGACGAUGCGUAGCCGACCUGAGAGGGUGAUCGGCCACAUUGGAACUGAGACACGGUCCAGACUCCUACGGGAGGCAGCAGUGGGGAAUAUUGCGCAAUGGGGGAAACCCUGACGCAGCAACGCCGCGUGAGUGAUGAAGGUUUUCGGAUCGUAAAACUCUGUCUUUAGGGACGAUAAUGACGGUACCUAAGGAGGAAGCCACGGCUAACUACGUGCCAGCAGCCGCGGUAAUACGUAGGUGGCAAGCGUUGUCCGGAUUUACUGGGCGUAAAGAGUAUGUAGGUGGGUGCUUAAGUCAGAUGUGAAAUUCCCGGGCUUAACCUGGGCGCUGCAUUUGAAACUGGGCAUCUAGAGUGCAGGAGAGGAAAGUGGAAUUCCUAGUGUAGCGGUGAAAUGCGUAGAGAUUAGGAAGAACACCAGUGGCGAAGGCGACUUUCUGGACUGUAACUGACACUGAGAUACGAAAGCGUGGGUAGCAAACAGGAUUAGAUACCCUGG